GACGAACCGUGCAAACGUUGUUCGGAAUCACUGGGCGUAAAGCGCACGUAGGCGGACUCUUAAGUCGGUGGUGAAAUCCUGGAGCUCAACUCCAGAACUGCCUUCGAUACUGGGAGUCUCGAGUUCGGGAGAGGUGAGUGGAACUGCGAGUGUAGAGGUGAAAUUCGUAGAUAUUCGCAAGAACACCAGUGGCGAAGGCGGCUCACUGGCCCGAUACUGACGCUGAGGUGCGAAAGCGUGGGGAGCAAACAGG
rnacentral:rRNA from 1 species